rnacentral:rRNA from 1 species
GACGAACGCUGGCGGCGUGCCUAAUACAUGCAAGUAGAACGCUGAAGGAGGAGCUUGCUCUUCUGGAUGAGUUGCGAACGGGUGAGUAACGCGUAGGUAACCUGCCUGGUAGCGGGGGAUAACUAUUGGAAACGAUAGCUAAUACCGCAUAAGAGUAGAUGAUGCAUGACAUUUACUUAAAAGGUGCAAUUGCAUCACUACCAGAUGGACCUGCGUUGUAUUAGCUAGUUGGUGGGGUAACGGCUUACCAAGGCGACGAUACAUAGCCGACCUGAGAGGGUGAUCGGCCACACUGGGACUGAGACACGGCCCAGACUCCUACGGGAGGCAGCAGUAGGGAAUCUUCGGCAAUGGACGGAAGUCUGACCGAGCAACGCCGCGUGAGUGAAGAAGGUUUUCGGAUCGUAAAGCUCUGUUGUAAGAGAAGAACGAGUGUGAGAGUGGAAAGUUCACACUGUGACGGUAUCUUACCAGAAAGGGACGGCUAACUACGUG